CGCGAGAGGGGCGGCGCCCUGUGCGAGGUUUAGCGAGUAUUAGUUUGGAUACUUAUAAACUAGGGGGGUAGGACGGUCCGCUCACCAAAUCGGUAACCGAGGUCAACGAAGUGGGGGUUCGAGUACCAAAGG